GUGAGGAAUAUUGGUCAAUGGAGGCAACUCUGAACCAGCCAAGUCGCGUGAAGGAUGAAUGUCUUAUGGAUUGUAAACUUCUUUUGCAAGGGAAUAAAGUGGGGGACGUGUCCUCCUUUGCAUGUACCUUGCGAAUAAGGAUCGGCUAACUCCGUGCCAGCAGCCGCGGUAAUACGGAGGAUCCGAGCGUUAUCCGGAUUUAUUGGGUUUAAAGGGUGCGCAGGCGGGAUGUUAAGUCGGCGGUGAAAUUUUGCAGCUCAACUGUAAAAGUGCCUUCGAUACUGGCUUUCUUGAGUGUGGAUGAAGUAGGCGGAAUUUGUGGUGUAGCGGUGAAAUGCUUAGAUAUCACGAGGAACUCCGAUUGCGCAGGCAGCUUACUAAACCACUACUGACGCUCAUGCACGAAGGCGUGGGGAUCAAACAGGAUUAGAUACCCCAGUAGUCC
rnacentral:rRNA from 1 species